rnacentral:rRNA from 1 species
UGUCUAGUAUAAGCAAUUAUACCGUGAAACUGCGAAUGGCUCAUUAAAUCAGUUAUCGUUUAUUUGAUAAUACCUUACUACUUGGAUAACCGUGGUAAUUCUAGAGCUAAUACAUGCUGAAAAUCCCGACUUCGGAAGGGAUGUGUUUAUUAGAUAAAAAACCAAUGCCCUUCGGGGCUUUUUGGUGAUUCAUGAUAACUUUACGGAUCGCAUAGCCUUGCGCUGGCGACGGUUCAUUCAAAUUUCUGCCCUAUCAACUUUCGAUGGUAAGGUAUUGGCUUACCAUGGUUUCAACGGGUAACGGGGAAUUAGGGUUCGAUUCCGGAGAGGGAGCCUGAGAAACGGCUACCACAUCCAAGGAAGGCAGCAGGCGCGCAAAUUACCCAAUCCCGACACGGGGAGGUAGUGACAAUAAAUACUGAUACAGGGCUCUUUUGGGUCUUGUAAUUGGAAUGAGUACAAUUUAAACCUCUUAACGAGGAACAAUUGGAGGGCAAGUCUGGUGCCAGCAGCCGCGGUAAUUCCAGCUCCAAUAGCGUAUAUUAAAGUUGUUGCAGUUAAAAAGCUCGUAGUUGAAACUUGGGCCUGGCUGGCGGGUCCGCCUCACCGCGUGCACUCGUCCGGCCGGGCCUUCCUUCUGAAGAACCUCAUGCCCUUCACUGGGCGUGCUGGGGAAUCAGGACUUUUACUUUGAAAAAAUUAGAGUGUUCAAAGCAGGCCUUUGCUCGAAUACGUUAGCAUGGAAUAAUAAAAUAGGGCGUGCGUUUCUAUUUUGUUGGUUUCUAGAGACGCCGCAAUGAUUAACAGGAACAGUCGGGGGCAUCAGUAUUCAGUUGUCAGAGGUGAAAUUCUUGGAUUUACUGAAGACUAACUACUGCGAAAGCAUUUGCCAAGGAUGUUUUCAUUAAUCAGUGAACGAAAGUUAGGGGAUCGAAGACGAUCAGAUACCGUCGUAGUCUUAACCGUAAACUAUGCCGACUAGGGAUCGGGCGAUGUUCUUUUUCUGACUCGCUCGGCACCUUACGAGAAAUCAAAGUUUUUGGGUUCUGGGGGGAUUAUGGUCGCAAGGGUUGAAACUUAAAGGAAUUGACGGAAGGGACCUU